ACGUUCUUGUGUUGUUUGUUGAUCGCUCAUCAAGGUCAAUGAUUGUCAAAAAGAACGUAUAUUAAAUUUAAGGCUAAUUUUAAUA